UCCUCCAGCACCACAUCUCAAACGCGUC
rnacentral:piRNA from 1 species